rnacentral:rRNA from 1 species
AGGAAAAGAAACCAACAGGGAUUGCCCCAGUAACGGCGAGUGAAGCGGCAACAGCUCAAAUUUGAAAUCUGGCCCUAGGCCCGAGUUGUAAUUUGCAGAGGAUGCUUUUGGCGCGGUGCCUUCCGAGUUCCCUGGAACGGGACGCCAUAGAGGGUGAGAGCCCCGUACGGUUGGACACCAAGUCUUUGUAAAGCUCCUUCGACGAGUCGAGUAGUUUGGGAAUGCUGCUCAAAAUGGGAGGUAUAUUUCUUCUAAAGCUAAAUAUUGGCCAGAGACCGAUAGCGCACAAGUAGAGUGAUCGAAAGAUGAAAAGCACUUUGAAAAGAGGGUUAAACAGCACGUGAAAUUGUUAAAAGGGAAGCGCUUGUGACCAGACUUGCGUCCGGUGAAUCACCCAGCUCUCGCGGCUGGGGCAUUUUGCCGGCUCAGGCCAGCAUCAGCUUGCCGUCGGGGACAAAAGCUUCGGGAACGUAGCUCUCUUCGGGGAGUGUUAUAGCCCGUUGCAUAAUACCCUUCGGUGGGCUGAGGUACGCGCUCCGCAAGGAUGCUGGCGUAAUGGUC